rnacentral:rRNA from 1 species
CGGAACGUGCCCGAUCGUGGGGGAUAACGGAGCGAAAGCUUUGCUAAUACCGCAUACGAUCUACGGAUGAAAGCAGGGGACCGCAAGGCCUUGCGCGGACGGAGCGACCGAUGGCAGAUUAGGUAGUUGGUGGGAUAAAAGCUUACCAAGCCGACGAUCUGUAGCUGGUCUGAGAGGACGACCAGCCACACUGGGACUGAGACACGGCCCAGACUCCUACGGGAGGCAGCAGUGGGGAAUUUUGGACAAUGGGCGAAAGCCUGAUCCAGCCAUGCCGCGUGCAGGAUGAAGGCCUUCGGGUUGUAAACUGCUUUUGUACGGAACGAAAAGCCUCUUUCUAAUAAAGAGAGGUCAUGACGGUACCGUAAGAAUAAGCACCGGCUAACUACGUGCCAGCAGCCGCGGUAAUACGUAGGGUGCAAGCGUUAAUCGGAAUUACUGGGCGUAAAGCGUGCGCAGGCGGUGAUGUAAGACAGAUGUGAAAUCCCCGGGCUCAACCUGGGAACUGCAUUUGUGACUGCAUCGCUGGAGUGCGGCAGUGGGGGAUGGAAUUCCGCGU